AAACUUAUAGUAUAAUUUAAUAUUUUAGUUUGUC
rnacentral:tRNA from 1 species